rnacentral:rRNA from 1 species
GCGGCUGGAUGGGCGAGCCUGAUCAGCCAUGCCGCGUGUGUGAAGAAGGUCUUCGGAUUGUAAAGCACUUUAAGUUGGGAGGAAGGGCAGUAAGUUAAUACCUUGCUGUUUUGACGUUACCAACAAAAUAAGCACCGGCUAACUUCGUGCCCCCAGCCGCUAUAAUAA